UUUCCGUAGGUGAACCUGCGGAAGGAUCAUUAUUGAAAUAAACCUGAUGGGUUGCUGCUGACUCUCUCGGGAGCAUGUGCACACUUGUCAUCUUUAUAUCUCCACCUGUGCACCUUUUGUAGAUCCGGAUAUCUUUCUGAAUGCCUGCAUUCAGGUUUGAGGAUUGACUUGUCUUUCCUUACAUUUCCAGGCCUAUGUUUCUUCAUAUACACCAUGUAUGUUAUAGAAUGUAAUGAAAAGGGCCUUUGUGCCUACAAACUUAUACAACUUUCAGCAACGGAUCUCUUGGCUCUC
rnacentral:misc_RNA from 1 species